UCGAACCACUCGAACUCCUCUCUCUUCCUCUCCCCACGCGGCCAAUCUGCUCUCGCACCCAACCCUAGCUCCCGAUGAUGCGCCGCCGCCCACCAUCUUUCCCCACCGACUGCCUGCUUUGCCACCACCCCACCUUCUCCCCCGGAUGCAACAUCUUCCCCACCGAUGCAGCACAUCUGAAACGAAUGAGCACAGCACCUCCUCUCCCGGAUUCCAUCGCAUCCCGUGGUCACCGCCCUCGUCUACCUCGGCGCUGCGCUUCCCCACCGACGACCUCAAUGCCCAUCUCCCCCACCGGCGCCGCCCCCACCAACCUUCUCUCUCUCUUCCCUUGGCUGGUGCAUGCUUGUGGAGGAAGAUCCACGACGCGCCACCUCCGCCCCGUCGUCGGCGGUGGAUGCUCGUCAAUGGUCGUGGUCCGGAAGCCCAGCUUCGCCUGGGCGCGACGGAUCUGCGCAAGGGCCACGCUGGGCGAGGAGCCCACAUGCUCGGCCGCCACUUGGUUCACUCCUCUUCUUUCAGCCGCCGGGAGAGGAGCUCAUGGCGGUGAUGCUACCGGAUCCGCGACGGAGGUGCUUGAGGUCGCGCGCAGCAACAGGAGGCCGAAAUGUUUUCGUUACAUGCAGUCAGUCUUCCAAGGUCUGUCGUGCGUACUACUAGUGUUCACAACCUUCCAAGUUCAUGGGGGUCUUGUUUGUUUGUUCAUGUGGUGACUCUUCUACACAUUUCAUAGUUUCUUCUACAUAGUUGUGGAGACCACGGAUGGAACUAUCGCAGUUGCUUCUGCGUUUCGUGGGCAUCUGGAAGGGAUCACAAGUUCUUGUCAAAAGCGAUAGAAGAGGGAUUUGACUGUGGCCAUGGAGGCAUGUUUGGCUCUGACGCCAUGGAUGUCGUUGUGCUCUCUCAUCGUCCCUCCCUGGCCCCUAGGCACAUCAGGCCGCUGUGCUUCUUCUACUUUCACAUGCCGAUGGUGAUAAGUGGAAGUCCCUGAGUGAUGUUGUUCCAUGGAAGAUGCCCAGCCACGUGGAAGCAACAAUUCUAUUUCAAGGCCUCCCUCUACAUCUCCCUGUUUCAAUUUCUAGGCUUAGUCCCUAAUUUCUGCUGCUCCAAAUUUUCUUAUAUGCUUGACUAAAUUUCAUUGUUUGCCAACUAAAUUGCUUGCUUGAUGCCCCAAAAAUUCAGUGCAAUUUUGUUUACCAAUUGGUUUGGUUGGAUUUGUCCCAAGUUAACUGUAGUUGUUACAAAAUAGAUGGCUAUUGUCCAAUUGGUUCAGUAGAACAAAACUAGAUGGCUGACAUGUGUUGUUUGCUGAUAAUUAACAAUGUUGGGGCGUUGUAUUGAGGUUAACCUGUGAAGAAUACUUACUUAUGGUCUGACUGGACUUCUUUUAUAUGUCCAACUGAACUACACACACUCAUAUAUACCCACAUGUCAAAUAUAUGUUGUUGUAUUAUGCUUAUGCUACUUGUAUCACCAAUGUUUUCUCACUCUGGUACCUUUAUCUUUCUUUAUGUUCUUACCUAACCUUUUACUAAUAUGUACUCUUUGCUCACAAUUAAGUUGUAUAAGUUAGGCUGCGAUGUUAAGGCUAACCUGAUAACACUUGCUUAUGAGAACCAAUUGGACUUCUUCGAUAUAUUCAAGUGAAGAUGUACUAUUACUACUGUAGUGAACUUCGUCUAUGUUUGAUUAGAAUCUAAGUGUCAUCAUUCAUAUUAUGGUAUCCUGUUUUCUGUGAUAACUGUUGACUUGCAAGAUGAAUGCAUUCUUCUAUCCAGCUUUAGUUGUCUUUCAUUGUUUUGUACUAGCAUUCAGCCCCUCACCCAACUCGCUCAUGAUGCACGACAGCAACAACGGGAAGAUCAUGCUAGUCUGCAUCAUCAGGCACACCAUGGAGAUCAUCCACCUCCUCACCAAUGCCAACCCCAUCCAGAUCAUCGUUGGCGCCAUCAUUAACUGGAUAAGGCUCCCUACAUUGCUCUGGAAACUUGCUAUGUGAAGGGCGACUAGUGAUGCGGCACACCAAGCAGCAGCACUAAUUGAUGAAGGAUGGUUGUUGUUAGUUUAGCUCGUUGCAAGCAUCUACUGCUGCUGGUAGAUAUAGAAAUGCUGCUGGUAGAAAUAGAAAUGGUAGAAAUAGAAAUGUUGCUUCAUUUUCAUGUUAAUUCAGUCUCUGUCCAAUGUAUCUACUAUCUACUUUCAUGGCUGUCUAAAGAAUCCUUUUGUGUUGAAAGAAAUGAAAGAAAUAAAAUGGUUUGAAUUCAUGGGAA